rnacentral:rRNA from 1 species
UAAUACGGAGGGUGCAAGCGUUAUCCGGAUUUACUGGGUUUAAAGGGUGCGUAGGUGGGCAGGAAAGUCAGUGGUGAAAUCUCCGGGCUUAACCCGGAAACUGCCAUUGAUACUAUUUGUCUUGAAUACUUUGGAGGUAAGCGGAAUAUGUCAUGUAGCGGUGAAAUGCUUAGAUAUGACAUAGAACACCAAUUGCGCAGGCAGCUUACUACACAGUAAUUGACACUGAGGCACGAAAGCGUGGGGAUCAAACAGGAUUAGAUACCCUGGUAGUCCACGCCCUAAACGAUGGAUACUCGACAUUAGCGAUAUACAGUUAGUGUCUGAGCGAAAGCAUUAAGUAUCCCACCUGGGAAGUACGAUCGCAAGAUUG